UUACGGGGUGCAGCAGGCGCGAAACCUCUGCAAUAGGCGAAAGCUUGACAGGGUUACUCUGAGUGAUUUCCGUUAAGGAGAUCUUUUGGCACCUCUAAAAAUGGUGCAGAAUAAGGGGUGGGCAAGUCUGGUGUCAGCCGCCGCGGUAAUACCAGCACCCCGAGUGGUCGGGACGUUUAUUGGGCCUAAAGCAUCCGUAGCCGGUUCUACAAGUCUUCCGUUAAAUCCACCUGCUUAACAGAUGGGCUGCGGAAGAUACUAUAGAGCUAGGAGGCGGGAGAGGCAAGCGGUACUCGAUGGGUAGGGGUAAAAUCCGUUGAUCCACUGAAGACCACCAGUGGCGAAGGCGGCUUGCCAGAACGCGCUCGACGGUGAGGGAUGAAAGCUGGGGGAGCAAACCGGAUUAGAUACCCGGGUAGUCCCAGCUGUAAACGAUGCAGACUCGGUGAUGGGCCGGCUUUAUGCCAGCUCAGUGCCGCAGGGAAGCCGUUAAGUCUGCCGCCUGGGGAGUACGGUCGCAAGACUGAAACUUAAAGGAAUUGGCGGGGGAGCAC
rnacentral:rRNA from 1 species